rnacentral:rRNA from 1 species
UAAAGCUCUGUCCUCGGGGAAGAACGGUGGAUACAGGAAAUGGUAUUCACGUGACGGUACCCGUGGAGGAAGCCCUGGCUAACUACGUCCCAGCAGCCGCGGUAACACGUAGAGGGCAAGCGUUGUCCGGAAUCAUUGGGCGUAAAGGGUACGCAGGCGGAUAUGCAAGUCAAAUGUGAAAGGUAUCGGCUCAACCGAUAGAGUGCAUUUGAAACUGUAUAUCUUGAGUACAGCAGAGGAGAACGGAAUUCCUGGAGUAGCGGUGAAAUGCGUAGAUAUCAGGAAGAACACCAGUGGCGAAAGCGGUUCUCUGGGCUGUAACUGACGCUGAGGUACGAAAGCCAGGGCAGCGAACGGGAUUAGAUACCCCGGUAGUCCUGGCUGUAAACGAUGGACACUAGGUGUUGGGGGUUCGAUUCCCUCAGUGCCGCAGUUAACGCAUUAAGUGUCCCGCCUGGGGAUUACGGUUGCAAGACUGAAACUCAAAGGAAUUGACGGAA